rnacentral:rRNA from 1 species
CGACUUGGAGGUUGUUCCCUUGAGGAGUGGCUUCCGGAGCUAACGCGUUAAGUCGACCGCCUGGGGAGUACGGCCGCAAGGUUAAAACUCAAAUGAAUUGACGGGGGCCCGCACAAGCGGUGGAGCAUGUGGUUUAAUUCGAUGCAACGCGAAGAACCUUACCUACUCUUGACAUCCAGAGAACUUAGCAGAGAUGCUUUGGUGCCUUCGGGAACUCUGAGACAGGUGCUGCAUGGCUGUCGUCAGCUCGUGUUGUGAAAUGUUGGGUUAAGUCCCGCAACGAGCGCAACCCUUAUCCUUUGUUGCCAGCGAUUCGGUCGGGAACUCAAAGGAGACUGCCGGUGAUAAACCGGAGGAAGGUGGGGAUGACGUCAAGUCAUCAUGGCCCUUACGAGUAGGGCUACACACGUGCUACAAUGGCGCAUACAAAGAGAAGCGACCUCGCGAGAGCAAGCGGACCUCAUAAAGUGCGUCGUAGUCCGGAUCGGAGUCUGGAACUCGACUCCGUGAAGUCGGAAUCGCUAGUAAUCGUGGAUCAGAAUGCCACGGUGAAUACGUUCCCGGGCCUUGUACACACCGCCCGUCACACCAUGGGAGUGGGUUGCAAAAGAAGUAGGUAGCUUAACCUUCGGGAGGGCGCUUACCACUUUGUGAUUCAUGACUGGGGUGAAGUCGUAACAAGGUACC